rnacentral:rRNA from 2 species
AGGUUAAGUUAGUAAGGGCGCACGGUGGAUGCCUUGGCACUAGGAGCCGAUGAAGGACGGUACUAACACCGAUAUGCUUCGGGGAGCUGUAAGUAAGCUUUGAUCCGGAGAUUUCCGAAUGGGGGAACCCACUGAUCGUAAUGGGUCAGUAUCUUUACCUGAAUACAUAGGGUAAUGAAGGCAGACCCGGGGAACUGAAACAUCUAAGUACCCGGAGGAAGAGAAAGCAAACGCGAUUUCCUGAGUAGCGGCGAGCGAAACGGAAGAAGCCCAAACCAAGAGGCUUGCCUCUUGGGGUUGUAGGACACUCUAUAUGGAGUUACAAAGGAACG